AAAUCCCAUGGAUGGAGGAGCCUGGUGGACUAUAGUCUGUAGGGUCGCAAAGAGUCAGACACGACUGAGCGAAUUCAGCCAGCCUAAUGUCUUACACCUGCCCAAAUAAGCGCCUUACUCUUUUUGAAACAUGCUUCCCAUUUUCCCUCUCCUCGCACCUGUCUUUUCCAACUCAUAAUUGGUUUCUCCAGGAGCCUUCCUCCACUUCCAGGUCUGGAUUAGCAGCCUCCCCUGAGAGCUGCCCUAUCACAGUGCUCGUCAUGCUGUGCCCCGUUCCUGUUUCUCAUCCUUGUGAAACUGAGGGCUCUUGAGGGAGGGGCUGUCUCAUUCACCAUGACAGUCCCAAAAUCCAGCACAGUGCCUGGCACUCAAGAAAAGGAGGACCAGCCCUUGACCCCUAGGCACUGGCCUGUUGCUAUCAGCUGCACCCUGGGGCUCUACCGUUGAGCACAGUUUCAUAAAACAUCAGCAAGAGACAAGGCUGUUCUUUGACUGUGCUGGGUCAGGACAAAAACAAGGCCACUGGAUAACCAUAUCUGCACAGAGACAUAACAUGAACAGUGUUCAAACCACAAAAAUGGCCUAACAUCCUCUUACCCUGGCUGAUAUAAGUGAAUGCUGCUGCUUUACCCAUUGCAGUGUAGCCUCCAACUGGUCUUCUUUCCUUUGAGUUAAGAUUUCUUAAUCCUAUCCAAUCAUAGAAGUACCUGUUUCCUGACAACAUUCACUCUCAAGAAAACCCCACUUCCUCAAACUCUCCUGAAAUCAACCCAAACUCCAGUCC